rnacentral:rRNA from 1 species
GACAGAGGGUGCAAACGUUGUUCGGAUUUACUGGGCGUAAAGCGCGUGUAGGCGGCUUCGUAAGUUGGAUGUGAAAUCCCACGGCUCAACCGUGGACGUGCAAUCCAAACUACGUCGGCUGGAGUCGUCGGAGAGGAAGGUGGAAUGGCUUGGUGGUAGAGGUGAAAUUCGUAGAUAUCGGGAGGAACACCAGUGGCGAAGGCGGCGAUCUGGGAAGAUACUGACGCUGAGGUGCGAAAGCGUGGGGGAGCAAACAGG